CAUAACAGUGAUAUACUACAUAACAUACUAACAGACAUAUUCAUAACACACAUAACAGACAUACUAACAAGCAUACAUAAACAGUAAUAUGACAGACAUACAUAACAAACAUAAUAACAACAUACAUAACAGUAGUAUAUAUAACAUACUUUGCUAAAGAGAUAUACAUAACAGAUGUUAUAGGCCAUUUUUGCCCGGGCCCAAACCAAAAGCAACCCAAUUUCCAAAAUAAUUAAACAGUCCAAAAAAUAAAUUACAAGCCAAAAAAUAAAAAAACCUAGUGGCCCAAGUGGCCCACAACCUAAAUUCAAUUUUCAGUAAAAUAAAAAAACCUAGCCCUAACACCUCUCUCGGCGUGCACGAUGCCCGAUGACGACUCCUUCACUGAGGUUGCACCGAAAUGGCAAUGGUUUUUGCCCGUUGAC
rnacentral:lncRNA from 1 species